CAGUGGCCUUACUGCAAUGUGGCUCAUCAACCAUAAUAUUAGACAAAGGGUACAAAAAAUUCACUUAUCCUGGAUCUGAUUUAUAUCCCCAGAAUACAAGAUGCAAUUGGGUUUUUCAAGCAGCUGACUCAAGUUCCAGAAUAACAUUUGAAGUCAGCAAACUUUUUGUUGAUUGUGCUGACACACUUAAGUUUUAUGAUGGUUCAUCUUCGAGUGCAACAGCACUUACACCCACAAGUGUGUGUUGCUCGAGUACUAAUUCCUGUGGCUCAACAAGACCCCCACAAACGUCAACUGGAAAUACAAUCUUCGUAGAAUUUCAAUCUGACGAAAUACAGAACAUUUAUGAAAAUGGAUUUCAAGUAUCGUUUUUAACUGGAAAGG